rnacentral:rRNA from 1 species
AGCUAAUAGAUACCCAGGUAGUCCACGCCCUAAACGAUGCAUAUUUGGUGUGGGCAGUUCAUUCUGUCCGUGCCGGAGCUAACGCGUUAAAUAUGCCGCCUGGGGAGUACAGUCGCAAGGCUGAAACUCAAAGGAAUUGACGGGGGCCCGCACAAGCGGUGGAGCAUGUGGUUCAAUUCGACGCAACGCGAAGAACCUUACCUGGGCUCGAACGGCUGAUCAACGGCGGUGGAAACAUCGCUACCCCGCAAGGGGGUUCAGUCGAGGUGCUGCAUGGCUGUCGUCAGCUCGUGUCGUGAGAUGUUGGGUUAAGUCCCGCAACGAGCGCAACCCUUGUCCUGUGUUGCCAUCAUUCAGUUGGGAACUCGCAGGAGACCGCCAGGGAUAACCUGGAGGAAGGUGGGGAUGACGUCAAGUCCUCAUGGCCUUUAUGUCCAGGGCUACACACGUGCUACAAUGGACGGUACAAAGCGCAGCAAACCCGCGAGGGGGUAGCCAAUCGCAAAAAA